AUUGAACGCUGGCGGCAGGCCUAACACAUGCAAGUCGAGCGAGCGGCGGACGGGUGAGUAAUGUAUGGGGACUGCCCGAUAGAGGGGGAUAACUACUGGAAACGGUGGCUAAUACCGCAUACUAUCGGAUAACCCAUAUGGGAUUAGCUCGUAGGUGGGGUAACGGCUCACCUAGGCGACGAUCUCGCGCUGGUCUGAGAGGAUGAUCAUCCACACUGGGACUGAGACACGGCCCAGACUCCUACGGAGGCAGCAGUGGGGAAUAUGGCGCAAUGGGCGCAAGUCUGAUGCAGCCAUGCCGCGUGUAUGAAGAAGGCUUUAGGGUUGUAAAGUACUGUCAGCGGGGAGGCGUUACCCGCAGAAGAAGCACCGGCUAACUCCGUGCCAGCAGCCGCGGUAAUUC
rnacentral:rRNA from 1 species